rnacentral:rRNA from 1 species
CCUACGGGAGGCAGCAGUGGGGAAUAUUGCACAAUGGGGGAAACCCUGAUGCAGCGACGCCGCGUGAAUGAAGAAGUAUUUCGGUAUGUAAACUUCUAUCAGCAGGGAAGAAAAUGACGGUAUCUGACUAAUAAGCCCCGGCUAACUACGUGCCAGCAGCCGCGGUACUACGUAGGGGGCAAGCGUUAUCCGGAUUUACUGGGUGUAAAGGGAGCGUAGGCGGUUUAGCAAGUCAGAAGUGAAAGCCCGGGGCUCAACUCCGGGACUGCUUUUGAAACUGUUGAACUAGAUUGCAGGAGAGGUAAGUGGAAUUCCUAGUGUAGCGGUGAAAUGCGUAGAUAUGAGGAGGAACACCAGUGGCGAAGGCGGCUUACUGGACUGUAAAUGACGCUGAGGCUCGAAAGCGUGGGGAGCAAACAGGAUUAGAUACCCUAGUAGUC